GAGCAUCCUGGUGGCGAGUGGCGAACGGGUGAGUAAUACAUCGGAACGUGCCCAGUAGUGGGGGAUAACCCGGCGAAAGCCGGACUAAUACCGCGUACGACCUACGGGUGAAAGCAGGGGAUCGCAAGACCUUGCGCUAUUGGAGCGGCCGAUGUCAGAUUAGCUAGUUGGUGGGGUAAUAGCCCACCAAGGCGACGAUCUGUAGCUGGUCUGAGAGGACGACCAGCCACACUGGGACUGAGACACGGCCCAGACUCCUACGGGAGGCAGCAGUGGGGAAUUUUGGACAAUGGGCGCAAGCCUGAUCCAGCCAUGCCGCGUGCGGGAAGAAGGCCUUCGGGUUGUAAACCGCUUUUGUCAGGGAAGAAACGCUCCGGGCUAAUACUCUGGAGUAAUGACGGUACCUGAAGAAUAAGCACCGGCUAACUACGUGCCAGCAGCCGCGGUAAUACGUAGGGUGCAAGCGUUAAUCGGAAUUACUGGGCGUAAAGCGUGCGCAGGCGGCUUUGCAAGACAGAUGUGAAAUCCCCGGGCUUAACCUGGGAACUGCAUUUGUGACUGCAUGGCUAGAGUGCGGCAGAGGGGGAUGGA
rnacentral:rRNA from 1 species